rnacentral:rRNA from 1 species
UACGUAGGUGACAAGCGUUGUCCGGAUUUACUGGGCGUAAAGAGCGCGCAGGCGGUCGUUCAAGUCGAGUGUGAAAGCCCCCGGCUCAACUGGGGAGGGUCAUUCGAUACUGAUCGACUCGAAGGCAGGAGAGGGAAGUGGAGUUCCCGGUGUAGUGGUGAAAUGCGUAGAUAUCGGGAGGAACACCAGUGGCGAAGGCGACUUCCUGGCCUGUUCUUGACGCUGAGGCGCGAAAGCUAGGGGAGCAAACGGG